UCAAACGCUGUUCCGGCGAUGAUACUUCCCAAGAACACAUUUACUAACAUGAAGUAAUAGUACUUCGCUGCUGCUCUACGCUCAAGUGUAGAUAAAGCAAUGUAGCCCUCAAUCUUCGACAUAAUCAGCAGUACUGUCGGGAGGAUCCACAAGAAAAUCUUCAGAGCAAGACCAGGUAGGAAACCUUGUAAGAAUGACUUUACAAAGUCCCUGCAAUAACAAGAAGAUGGGAAGAGUGGCGUGAAGGAGAAAGAAAGAGAAUAGAUAUUAUCGAAGUCUAGGAGUUUCUUACUCCACUUUCCAUUUUUUUUUUUAAUAUGGUAUGUAAAUAUUGUUAUUUUAUCCUUUCAUAAAUGAUAAAUCCAUAAAAGGCCAUAUAAUAUACUAGUUUUGGGAAAUAUAUUAUCACCCAUAGUCGAAUAUCACACGAAAUUACCCAGUCAAAUAUCACACAAACCAAAACCUUCGCUAAAAAGCAGUGUUUUUAAAAUCGGACCAAUCCGAUAGUGGACCGGGUUCAACAAUAAACUGGGUAUAUAACCGAAUUGGAUCUAAUAAUUGAUUCAAUUAUGAACCGAUUCCGUAGCCAGAUUAGAUCUUAAAGUUAUUAAACUACUAAAACUAUCAAAAAUCAACAAAUCAUUCAUAUGAACAUAAAAAAAGUUUAUAUUUUUAAUGUUUUAUGUUUAAAAGUUAUUUAUAUUUUAAUUAUGUAUCAUAUUUAUUAACAUUACUUUUAAAUUUAUAUACUAAAAGUAUAUUAAACCAGAUUCUUAAACCAGGUAUGACCCGGUCAAACCAUAUUGAACAGUGACCCAAAAAAUUUCCGGUUCAGCUUCCAGUCCAGUUUUUAAAACACUGCAGAGUGGAAAUUUGAAUUUUACAGAAUAUAAAAAAUCCUUAUUUUUGUUUAGAAUUUACAUUAUAAUAUAUAUUUAUGAACAAUUCUCUCAAUAGCCAUUUUUAAGUUUUUAUCACAAAAAUAGCCUUCAAAAAAAGAAAAUGACCAAAAUAACUUUUUUUUAUUUUGAAAAUUUUAAUAUUUUUUUUAAAAAAAAAAUUGAAAUCAUAUCCUCAAAACUCCACCCCUGACUUCAACUAGACGAGAUCGAAAGUAAACCCAACUCACUUCAACUAGACGAUCAAUAUCACACAGAGAGAUCACCAUGAAAAACUCUCAUCCCCACGGUUAGGAUAAGAUCUAAGAUUUGGAAAUUCGACUGUAGAGAAGAAAUGAGAACAAAACAUGAAGCUCUAAACCGGUUGAAACCUAAAAAGAGAUGAUUCAAAGCAAUUAAACCCGACUUCGGCUCUGAGAGACAACCGGAGUCUGAGAACAAGCUUCAACAAUAGAGGAUUGAUGAGAGAAGACAUAGGAUUUUUGAAGACAAUGGGGUCGAUCUAGCGCAGUGCCAAGGUACUUCUUCAGUUAGAAGAACUCGUUCUUAUUAAUAAAUAAAAUACAAAAAUUGGGGUACAAUACAAAAAAAAUUGGGUGAUAUAGUUUGUAAUAAUUGCCUCUCUCUUCUUGUAUCAUCUGCAGCUUAUAAUUUUUAAUUUUUAUAAUGUGGUAGUAAGCGUCCAAUUUAUGAUCAUUAAUGAUAAUUUUUUUUUUGCAACAAAAAGUUAUUCUAUUACUUAAAUUUGAGGUGGUCUAAAUAACCAGAACGGAAUAGAACAAUCAAUGAAACUAAACUCUCUAUGAAAAGAUUGAGCAUACCUAGCUAAAGAAUCAACAAUUCGAUUUGGUGCUCUUGGGAUGUGAGAUAUCCUGAAAUCUGGGAAACAUAUCUGAAGAGUCUGUAUCACCUCCAAUUAUAUUGUAAAGCUUGGCCAAGCUUAAGAUUUAUUUAUCAUUGCAUUUAGAUUCUUGCAAUCAGUCUCAAAGCUAUGGAAUGACGAAUAUUGAAUCAUGUUCUCCAUAGCUCAUCUCAGUGCUUCUGAUUUUGUAUGAAAAGCAGCCUUUCGCCGACAUAAGAUCCGCGUUCCCAUGAAUUGAGUCUUGCCCAAACUAUCCAUCCAAAUCCAUCCGCGUCCACUCAACUAAGAUGUAGAGGUCCAUGAACUAUCUACCAUACAUAUAUUAUCUAAGCUUACAAUUUAUGGCUCCUCAAUAUAAUGCCUCAUGUGAUGAUAAGGGUAAUGAUUCAUUUGCAUUGAACCAUGCUUGACAUUUGCUUUCCGCAUAACUGAUAAGUUCCAAAAGACCCUUAUAUAUCCUCUUUUUUUUUAAUGAUAACAAAAACUGCAUUAUGCUAAAAGACAAACAAUUAACUUGGGGGGGGGGGGGUUGAUUGAUUUACGUAGUGUUCAUAAAUUAUAAAAGCUGAUAGAUUUUAAAAAUUAUGUGGAUCAUGUAAAUAUAUAUAUAUAUAUUUAUUUAUUAGACUUUUUAUAGAUUUUUGCAGAUUUUUAAUUGUAUUAUCUUAUUUUUUAUCCUUGUUUUAAAGUAAAUAUAUAAUUUAUGAUUCUAAAUAUUUUCUUCCAGUAUAACAUGUUUUUUAGUCUUUUUGUAAAAAACAUAUUUAUCUGUUAAAAGAAAACAAGAAUGAUACAUAUAUAAUUAUGUUUAUAUGAUAAGAUGAACACUACAUAUUAACAAAUUUAACUAUAUUAUCUUUGCCUAGAAAUUUUCAUGGUAUUUUGUUUUUAUUUAAGGGGAAUUGGAGUCCUUAUACAUAAGAAUAGGAAAAAUUAACUUCAUACCCAUAACAUCACUUUGGCUACGAUAUGUUAUAUAUUGUUGUGUAAAGUGCCAAAAAUAUCCUUUUCUGCGCGCGUAGACAUCAAUGAGUGUCAUUAUCUUGCAAGUUGAAAAAUUGUUUCUACUUUACAAACUCUUGCAUACAGCGAAGAAGGGAGAUUUGAAGAGGGUGCGUGGUUUCGGUCGUGCGGCAUAAGUAGGAUAUUGAGAGUUAGGGUUUCAGUGGUUUUUUUCAAUUUUACGGCGGCACAAUUGAGUUUCCAAACCCAACAAAUCAAGGUGUCUGGUUUGUUG